CGUAGGGUGCAAGCGUUAAUCGGAAUUACUGGGCGUAAAGCGUGCGCAGGCGGUUCGGAAAGAAGAUGUGAAAUCCCAGAGCUUAACUUUGGAACUGCAUUUUAACUACCGAGCUAGAGUGUGUCAGAGGGAGGUGGAAUUCCGCGUGUAGCAGUGAAAUGCGUAGAUAUGCGGAGGAACACCGAUGGCGAAGGCAGCCUCCUGGGAUAACACUGACGCUCAUGCACGAAAGCGUGGGAGCAAACAGGAUU
rnacentral:rRNA from 1 species